rnacentral:rRNA from 1 species
GAUGAACGCUAGCUACAGGCUUAACACAUGCAAGUCGAGGGGUAACAAGAGGAAAGCUUGCUUUCUUUGUUGACGACCGGCGCACGGGUGAGUAACGCGUAUCCAACCUGCCUAUAACUAGGGAAUAACCUUGCGAAAGUAAGACUAAUACCCUAUGAUUUCCUUUGAUGCCAUCAGAUUAGGAAUAAAGAUUUAUCGGUUAUAGAUGGGGAUGCGUCUGAUUAGCUUGUUGGCGGGGUAACGGCCCACCAAGGCAACGAUCAGUAGGGGUUCUGCGAGGAAGGUCCCCCACAUUGGAACUGAGACACGGUCCAAACUCCUACGGGAGGCAGCAGUGAGGAAUAUUGGUCAAUGGGCGGAAGCCUGAACCAGCCAAGUAGCGUGCAGGAUGACGGUCCUAUGGGUUGUAAACUGCUUUUAUACAGGAAUAAAGUUAGCCACGUGUGGUUAUUUGUAGGUACUGUAUGAAUAAGGACCGGCUAAUUCCGUGCCAGCAGCCGCAGUAA